AUUGAACGCUGGCGGAAUGCUUUACACAUGCAAGUCGAACGGCAGCACGGGGCAACCUGGUGGCGAGUGGCGAACGGGUGAGUAAUACAUCGGAACGUGCCCAAUCGUGGGGGAUAACGUAGCGAAAGUUACGCUAAUACCGCAUACGAUCCACGGAUGAAAGCGGGGGAUCGCAAGACCUCGCGCGAAUGGAGCGGCCGAUGUCAGAUUAGGUAGUUGGUGGGGUAAAGGCUCACCAAGCCGACGAUCUGUAGCUGGUCUGAGAGGACGACCAGCCACACUGGGACUGAGACACGGCCCAGACUCCUACGGGAGGCAGCAGUGGGGAAUUUUGGACAAUGGGCGAAAGCCUGAUCCAGCCAUUCCGCGUGCAGGAUGAAGGCCUUCGGGUUGUAAACUGCUUUUGUACGGAACGAAACGGUCCUUUCUAAUACAAGGGGCUAAUGACGGUACCGUAAGAAUAAGCACCGGCUAACUACGUGCCAGCAGCCGCAGUAA
rnacentral:rRNA from 1 species